rnacentral:rRNA from 1 species
UGGGGAAUUUUGGACAAUGGGCGAAAGCCUGAUCCAGCAAUGCCGCGUGUGUGAAGAAGGCCUUCGGGUUGUAAAGCACUUUUGUCCGGAAAGAAAUCCUUGGCUCUAAUACAGUCGGGGGAUGACGGUACCGGAAGAAUAAGCACCGGCUAACUACGUGCCAGCAGCCGCGGUAAUACGUAGGGUGCAAGCGUUAAUCGGAAUUACUGGGCGUAAAGCGUGCGCAGGCGGUUUGCUAAGACCGAUGUGAAAUCCCGGGCUCAACCUGGGAACUGCAUUGGUGACUGGCAGGCUAGAGUAUGGCAGAGGGGGGUAGAAUUCCACGUGUAGCAGUGAAAUGCGUAGAGAUGUGGAGGAAUACCGAUGGCGAAGGCAGCCCCCUGGGCCAAUACUGACGCUCAUGCACGAAAGCGUGGGGAGCAAACAGGAUUAGAUACCCUGGUAGUCCACGCCCUAAACGAUGUCAACUAGUUGUUGGGGAUUCAUUUCCUUAGUAACGUAGCUAACGCGUGAAGUUGACCGCCUGGGGAGUACGGUCGCAAGAUUAAAACUCAAAGGAAUUGACGGGGUCAUA